AUUGAACGCUGGCGGCAUGCUUUACACAUGCAAGUCGAACGGUAACAGGCCGCAAGGUGCUGACGAGUGGCGAACGGGUGAGUAAUGCAUCGGAACGUGCCCAGUCGUGGGGGAUAACGCAGCGAAAGCUGCGCUAAUACCGCAUACGAUCUAUGGAUGAAAGCGGGGGACCGUAAGGCCUCGCGCGAUUGGAGCGGCCGAUGUCAGAUUAGGUAGUUGGUGGGGUAAAGGCUCACCAAGCCAACGAUCUGUAGCUGGUCUGAGAGGACGACCAGCCACACUGGGACUGAGACACGGCCCAGACUCCUACGGGAGGCAGAAGUGGGGAAUUUGUGACAAUGGGCGCAAGCCGGAUCCAGCAAUGCCGCGUGCAGGAAGAAGGCCUUCGGGUUGUAAACUGCUUUUGUACGGAACGAAACGGUCCUGGUUAAUACCUGGGGCUAAUGACGGUACCGUAAGAAUAAGCACCGGCUAACUACGUGCCAGCCGCCGCCGUAACAC
rnacentral:rRNA from 1 species